GACGGAGGGCGCAAGCGUUGUUCGGAAUUACUGGGCGUAAAGCGCGUGUAGGCGGCUUUGCAAGUCGGGCGUGAAAUCCCACGGCUCAACCGUGGAAGUGCACUCGAAACUGCAGAGCUAGAGUCCUGGAGAGGAAGGUGGAAUGCUUGGUGUAGAGGUGAAAUUCGUAGAUAUCAAGCGGAACACCGGUGGCGAAGGCGGCCUUCUGGACAGUGACUGACGCUGAGACGCGAAAGCGUGGGGAGCAAACAGG
rnacentral:rRNA from 1 species